rnacentral:rRNA from 1 species
AUACGGAGGGUGCAAGCGUUGUUCGGAAUUAUUGGGCGUAAAGCGCGUGUAGGCGGUCUGUUAAGUCUGGUGUGAAAGCCCUGGGCUCAACCCAGGAAGUGCAUUGGAUACUGGCAGACUUGAGUAUGGGAGAGGAAAGCGGAAUUCCGAGUGUAGGAGUGAAAUCCGUAGAUAUUCGGAGGAACACCAGUGGCGAAGGCGGCUUUCUGGACCAAUACUGACGCUGAGACGCGAAAGCGUGGGGAGCAAACAGGAUUAGAAACCCUAGUAGUCC